GUGAGCAUAUCACGAGACCCUGGGAUGGAAAGCAGGCGCUGGCUCCAGCUGUUCCCCCUUCUGCCAACAGCAGCCGCAGCUCAAAAGCCUAAGACCACCACGCUCCCUGCAAGCUAUCUGAGAUGAUAAGAAGACCAGGACCACAGCUCGGAAACAAUACUGACACAAUGGGAUUAAUGCAAUCAAAUUCGCCUGCUUGCAUGCCCGGAAGCCCAUCUCCUAGGU
rnacentral:lncRNA from 1 species